rnacentral:rRNA from 1 species
GGGGGCUAGCGUUGGUCGGAAUUACUGGGCGUAAAGCGCGUGUAGGCGGCUCGUUAUGUCGGGUGUGAAAGCCCUCAGCUUAACUGAGGAAGUGCGCCCGAAACUGGCGAGCUUGAGUGUCGGAGAGGAUAGCGGAACACCCGGUGUAGAGGUGAAAUUCGUAGAUAUCGGGUAGAACACCAGUGGCGAAGGCGGCUAUCUGGACGACAACUGACGCUGAGACGCGAAAGCGUGGGGAGCAAACAGG